rnacentral:rRNA from 1 species
AAUGAACGCUGGCGGCAGGCCUAACACAUGCAAGUCGAACGGAUCCUUCGGGAUUAGUGGCGGACGGGUGAGUAACGCGUGGGAACAUACCCUUUGGUACGGAAUAGCCCCGGGAAACUGGGAGUAAUACCGUAUGUGGUCGAGAGACGAAAGAUUUAUCGCCAAAGGAUUGGCCCGCGUUGGAUUAGGUAGUUGGUGGGGUAAUGGCCUACCAAGCCGACGAUCCAUAGCUGGUUUGAGAGGAUGAUCAGCCACACUGGGACUGAGACACGGCCCAGACUCCUACGGGAGGCAGCAGUGGGGAAUCUUAGACAAUGGAGGAAACCCUGAUCUAGCCAUGCCGCGUGAUCGAUGAAGGCCUUAGGGUUGUAAAGAUCUUUCAGGUGGGAAGAUAAUGACUGUACCACCAGAAGAAGCCCCGGCUAACUCCGUGCCAGCCGCCGCAGUAA